GUCAAAUAAUAAUAAAUUGCAGAGCCUUGAAGAAGACUCGAAGCACAAUUUUUGCAAACCCUGUUUCCAACAGGGUA
rnacentral:snRNA from 1 species